ACAGAAAAUGGAACUUUCUCUCGUUGGCCUUCAGAAUGCAGGAAAGACAUCUCUUGUUAAUGCCAUUGCUACAGGGGGUUACAGUGAGGACAUGAUUCCAACUGUUGGAUUCAAUAUGCGAAAAGUUACUAAGGGAAAUGUGACAAUCAAGCUUUGGGACCUUGGAGGGCAGAGG